ensembl:lncRNA
AGUGAGUUCAGCACCCUCUGAAGUUGUUAAUAUAUGAGUUACAAGGACAAAGUUUUUACUUUGCCCAAAGAGGAGCAAAAUGCAAAGUUGAAUCACAUUGCUCAGGACCUUGGCCAGUCAAGUUUAGAAAAUGCCCAUGGAUGCAGAUUUCCACAGCCUCUUUGGGCCCCUCUUCCAGUGCUUCAUCAUUUUCACUCUGAGGGAUUUUUCACUGCACAUUGCUGGAAUGAACAUUGCAUAACAAGGAAAAAAGAACAGGCAUAGGUGUAGACUUUACCAACGAGCUGUUAAAUCACCUGCAGAUAUCCAUUUGUCUCUGAACUAAGACAAUAUGGAUUUGAAAGGAAAAAAUGUUACAUCAAAUCAGACACUGUUUAAGGGCAUGCCGUAAGAAUACUAAAAGUAGAUACAAAUGUCUAAGAUAAAAAUAAUAAAUCAAUGUAUCUGAAUGAAAAAUACUUUGCAAAAAAUAUCCAGGAAAUGGAAAAGAAAUAGGUAAAGAUUGCCGUGUAUAGUAUUUUUUGAAAUAGGAUUCGUGUAACUUUUCUCAGAAAAUAUUUUGGCCAGAUAGAUCACAUAAUUGAAAUAGGCCAAAUGCAAUAAUUGAUAUUUUAAGCUAGAGUAGUUUUAGCUUCCACUCCUUGACUCCUGGGCAGUUCUCAGAAAUGAGGUAUUCAUACAGAACGACAAUAUCUAAAUAUCUAAAUGACUUAUACAUGUAAGAGUCAUUAAGAAACAGCUCAUAGAAUCAUAGAAUCACCAAGGUUGGAAAAGACCCACAGGAUCACCCAGUCCAACCAUCCACCCAUCGCCAAUGGUUCUCACUAAACCAUGUCCCUCAACACACAGCUCAGUAACAAAUAUGUAUUUCCUUUGGUGUGAUGCUAUGGUGGUGCACUGAGGUAAGCAGGGAAGCACACUGCCCUGGAAACUGAUGUUUAUACCGUGAUUACGAUGCCAAGGUUUGACUUCACGGAGCCACACAGAAACCAUCAUUACUCUUACUACUCCUUGUAUCUCAGAAGGGCAAAGAAUACAGGACAUUCCAUAUGUCAGAUUCCACUGUCUGCAGUAGCAGAACUAUCUUGAGGAAGAGUAGAAUACAAACUGGACCUAACAACAGAAAAAUGACACUUUGAGCUGUGCUUCACCAGCAAUAGAAAUCAACCUCUGAUCACACGAGUUUCAAAAUCUAUGCACUCCAACACUUUUGAAAACAAGCAUGUUCUAAGGAGCCUGAGUUUAGUCACCCAUGGCAUUAGUCACAUUGAUGGCCUGAACAAGCCAAGAACAAUUUGUUUUCUGCCUAUUCUAACAUUUCCUCCCCACAAGGCCUUGUACAACAAAUACCUACACUGCAAUGGCCUCAUUGUGCCACGCUGAAACUCACUAAAUUCCUUGCUGAGAUAAAUGGUCAAAAUAAUGUUGAAUCAGAAAUUCUUCAGUUUUGCAACUCUAUAUUUUACCAGCAGUAUACCUACAAUCCUGAUAUUUAGCUCAAGAGCCAUGCUUUUCUCAAAAAUCCCAAAGUCUUGAGUGGAAAAUCUUGGUCCAAGUACAUGUCAGAUUCCCACAAUUUAUUCUUCUAUUGCCUGCAUUCCCUUCAGCUAUUGGCAGUGCGAUCGCAUUGGCAAAGUGCAUUACAUUCAGGUCAUACCUUCAAAUGAAAUAAAAAACAUCCAAACAACAACUGCUACCACAACAAGAACAACAACAAAAUUAAUUUUACUGAACCUGGGAAAACACAUCAAACUGCAGCUGUUCAAGCUUCAAUGAAGAAGUUUCAUUUUUGUUCUUUUUAAAUACCAGUUACUUAAUGAGUUCUAAAGUUUCACAAAGCUACUUGCAGUCAGUAAACAGUCAGUGACAUUUGCUUCCAACAUUUCUGUUCAGUAGUAAUAUGGGCUUCAGCAAAGCAGUGAGUAUCCAUAAGUGGAUAAGUAAAAUCUUUUCUGAUUCCUGGCGCUGUUUCCAAGUGGUAAAUUGAGAGGAAAUUUCUUACAUUUUUUUCUACACUUAGAUAUUUUCUCAGGAAAAUUAAGGGUAUAUUUGCUUGCACAUUACCAUGUUUGGCCACAGUUUGCACUAAGUCCAAGCCAAGCAAAUUCAAGAUGGAUUGAACUCCUUCUGUGGCUUAUAUUCCUGUCACUUGUAUUUCUAGCAGGACCAUUUCCGCAUGUUGUUUUGGUUUUUGUUUGUUUGUUUGUUUGUUUUUAACAAAAGAGGAAUUACAAUGUCCCCUAUUUCUCCAUCGCUCCAUAGUAAAGCCAAAGACAUUAAGUUUUUCAACUUUAUUAUAAACAGAGAAAUCCUCUGAUUGUAGAAAGGAAAUAGGUUGUAAUGAGAUGGAUGCUUUGAAUACAUUACUUUUCAUUAACAAUUGACCAUAUUUCAGUUAAGAACAUCAUUUCAAAUUAUCACAAAUGCUAUGACAUUGGCAUUCACAGAUGGUACAGGAUGGCCUAUAUUCCUGAUGGAAGACAGCAGUGUUGGUUUUAUUGC